rnacentral:lncRNA from 1 species
AUCCCAACUAUUCCCCCUCCUCUCCCACAUCCCAACUAUUCCCUUCCUAUCCCACAUCCCAAUUAUUCCCCCUCCUAUCCCACAUCUGAAUUAUUCCCCCUCCUAUCCCACAUCCCAACUAUUCCCCCUCCUCUCCUGCAUCCCAAUUUAUUCCUCUUCCUAACCCAUAUCCCAGUUAUUCCCCCCUCCCAUCCCACAUUCCAAAUUAUUCCUCUUCCUAUCCCACAUCCCAAUUUAUUCCCCUUUCCAACCCACAUCCCAACUAUUCCUCUUCCUCUCCCACAUCCCAACUAUUCCCCCUGCUAUCCCACAUCCCAGUUUAUUCCUCUUCCCAACCCACAUCCCAAUUAUUCCUCCUCCUAUCCCACAUCUGAAUUAUUCCCUCUCCUAACCCACAUUCCAAAUUAUUCCUCCUCCUCUCCCACAUCCCAACUAUUCCUCCUUCUAUCCCACAUCCCAAUUAUUCCCCCUCCACUCCCACAUCCCAAUUUAUUCCUCUUCCUCUCCCACAUCCCAGUUAUUCCCCCUCCUCUCCCACAUCCCAACUAUUCCCCCUCCUAUCCCACAUCCCAAUUUAUUCCUCUUCCUAACCCACAUCCCAAUUAUUCCCCCUCCCAUCCCACAUUCCAAAUUAUUCCCCCUCCUAUCCCACAUCCCAUCUAUUCCUCCUUCUAUCCCACAUCCCAACUAUUCCCUGUCCUCUCCCACAUCCCAACUAUUCCCUCUCCCAUCCCACAUUCCAAAUUAUUCCUCUUCCCAACCCACAUCCCAACUAUUCCCCCUCCUGUCCCACAUCCCAAUUAUUCCCCCUCCCAGCCCACAUUCCAAAUUAUUCCUCCUCCUCUCCCACAUCCCAACUAUUCCUCCUUCUCUCCCACAUCCCAAAUUAUUCCCUCUCCUCUCCCACAUCCCAACUAUUCCCCCUCCUCUCCUGCAUCCCAAUUUAUUCCUCUUCCUAACCCAUAUCCCAGUUAUUCCCCCUCCCAUCCCACAUUCCAAAUUAUUCCCCCACCUAUCCCACAUCCCAGUUAUUCCCCCUCCUCUCCCACAUCCCAACUAUUCCCCAUCCCAACCCACAUCCCAAUUAUUCCUCCUCCUAUCCCACAUCCCAAAUUAUUCCCCCUCCUAUCCCACAUCCCAACUAUUCCUCCUCCCAUCCCACAUCCCAGUUAUUCCUCCUCCUCUCCCACAUCCCAACUAUUCCUCCUCCUCUCCACAUCCCAAUUUAUUCCCCUUCCCAACCCACAUCCCAAUUAUUCCUCCUCCUAUUCCAUAUCCCAGCUAUUCCCCCUCCUCUCCCACAUCCCAAAUUAUUCCCCCUCCUCUCCCACAUCCCAACUAUUCCCCCUCCUCUCCCACAUCCCAACUCUUCCCACCUCCCAGUGUUUCCCUUCUCCCAGGAAGCAGCAGCAGGACAAGGAGGGCUCGGCCUCCAGGGGGG